AUUGAACGCUGGCGGCAUGCCUUACACAUGCAAGUCGAACGGUAACGGGUCCUUCGGGAUGCCGACGAGUGGCGAACGGGUGAGUAAUAUAUCGGAACGUGCCCAGUAGUGGGGGAUAGCCCGGCGAAAGCCGGAUUAAUACCGCAUACGACCUAAGGGUGAAAGCGGGGGACCGUAAGGCCUUGCGCUAUUGGAGCGGCCGAUGUCAGAUUAGGUAGUUGGUGGGGUAAAGGCCUACCAAGCCUUCGAUCUGUAGCUGGUCUGAGAGGACGACCAGCCACACUGGGACUGAGACACGGCCCAGACUCCUACGGGAGGCAGCAGUGGGGAAUUUUGGACAAUGGGCGAAAGCCUGAUCCAGCCAUGCCGCGUGCGGGAAGAAGGCCUCGGUGUAA
rnacentral:rRNA from 1 species